rnacentral:rRNA from 1 species
GUAGGGAAUAUUGGGCAAUGGAUGCAAGUCUGACCCAGCCAUCCCGCGUGCCGGAAGAAGGCCCUCAGGGUUGUAAACGGCUUUUGACGGUGAAGAAUCGACAGGAUGCGUCCUGUUUUGACGGUAGCCGUUGAAUAAGCACCGGCUAACUCCGUGCCAGCAGCCGCGGUAAUACGGAGGGUGCGAGCGUUGUCCGGAUUUAUUGGGUUUAAAGGGUGCGUAGGCUGGAAGGUCAGUCAGCGGUGAAAAGCUGUCUCUUAACGAUAGUCUUGCCGCAGAUACUUCCUUUCUUGGAUGAGGAGGAGGCAACUGGAACGGAUGGUGUAGCGGUGAAAUGCAUAGAUAUCAUCCAGAACGCCAAUUGCGAAGGCAGGUAACUGUACCUAUAUCGACGCUGAUGCACGAAAGCAUGGGUAGCGAACAGGAUUAGAUACCCGGGUAGUCC